ACAUAACUCAACUCUGUCGCCCCCCUUGAGCGACCUGAAGCGUCCCUCCACACCCUUUCACUGUCUUCCCUGUCUUCCAUCUCCAGUGUAACGUCUUCCUCUAUAACGGUAAUUGAAGCAAUUCAAUGCUCUCUCUUCGAAUAAGACCCACUACUAUUUCUUAAAUUGGCGUUAGUUUAAGACGACGACGAGCUUCGGUCGUAAUCCAAAAAGAGGAAGAGACUGAAAUCGAAAGAAGAAAAAAAAAUGCCGAUAAUGGAGAAAUUGAGGAUGUUCGUAGCGCAGGAACCAGUCGUUGCUGCUUCUUGCUUAAUCGGGGGUGUUGCUGGCCGUCUUCACCAACAGAUCGUCGGAAGAAUGCUUCGUCACUUUGCCUGCCCGCAACGUCAAAAAAGAAAGCCAACUCCAUGGGCCAUCUCAUUGAUGAGAAGGUUGUAUCCAUCUCAAUUAGACUUUUCAGUUAUUCGAUGUUUUCAUUUGUAUCUGAUUUCAAGAUCUUCUCUAGAGUUGUGUCAUGGAAGGGUCGAUCAAUGUCAACCAUAUGGCAUCUACAAAUUCCUUAUAUACAGUGUUCCCGAUUUAGAAAGAGAGGUUAUAAAUUUCAUAGAGUUGUUAGGCAAAGAAGAUGAUCCAGAUUCAUACAGAUUUGUGAAAUCCCCAAAAUUAAUCACUGACCUUAUAGAUUCUAUAGCUGGAGCUGUUUAUAUAGAUGUGAAUCUUGAGCUUAAAAGACUCUAGGAGAUAAUGGGAAGUCUUUUGGAGCCAGUAUUAACACUUGAUGAUUUGCGGCAGCAACUUGAUAUAAUUAUUACGCUUUUUGGCAUGGGAUAUAAACAAGGCAAGCGAGUUGAGUUCAAGUAUCGCAAAAUUGGCAGCCGGUCCAUUACUGGUGAGGUAUACCUUGAUGAUAAAUUUAUAGCUUGUGGGAAGCCUAAUAAGUGUGGAAAUAUGGCAAAGAUGAAGAGCGGCUUUACAGACGUUGUCGGAGAUUACGCCCAUUGAAAUGGUUAUAAAUGAUUACAUUGGAUAUGAAGAUGCAAAAGAGAAGUUGAUUGGGAUUUGCAAAGACAGAAACUUGUCAAACCCGGGGUUUCAGUUUUAAGAGCUUUGAAAAUGUAUAUAUUUGUACAGUUAAGGUUGAGACUUCAACUGAAGAAGGUACCUUAUGCAUCAAAGGUUUCAAAAGAUAACGUAAGAAGAUUGCUGAAAACAAUGCAGCCUCCCACAUGAUAAGAACUCUGAAAUCUUCUCCGUUGAGUCGUGUCAUAAAGAAUCUGAAACUGCAGCAACUUUUAGAUGAGAAGAAGGAUCAGAAGAUGCAGAGAACUUUAGAAAAGAAGAAGAAUUCAGAAAAGAGGAAGCGGCAAAGUUUAGAUGAGAGCAAGAAUCCACAAACGCAUAACAGUUUAGAUGAGAAGAAGAAUCUGGAAAUGGAGAACAGUUUAGAUGAGAAGAAGAGUCCACAACUGCAGAACAGUUUAGAUGAGAAGAAGAGUCACAACUGCAGAACAGUUUAGAUGAGAACAAGAAUCAGCAAAUGCAGAAUAGUUCAGAUGAGAAAGGGAAUCUGCAAAUGCUGAAUAGUUUAGAAAAGAAGAAGAAUAUGCUUUCAAUAAAGAGGAGGCGGCAAGAUGAGAAGAAGAAUCCGGAAAUGGAGAACAGUUUAGAUGAGAACGAAAAUCAGCAAAUGGAGAAUAGUUUAGAUGAGAACGAGAACAUGCAUCAAAAGCAGAAGCAGAGGAAAAGGCGUUGAAAGAUUUAGUUAAGUUUUUUGGUAUUUCUCUUUUGCACAGUUGACAAACGCUUAUUGUAUUGGUGCAAUGAGUGAGUCUCUAGAAUCAAUCAAAUUGUCCUAAUCUGUCUAAGACACAUUGUUCACUAUAUCGUCUUUUCUUUUUGUCAGUCAUUUUUGUCAACUUUUUGUGAUAAUUACUAUAUUUAAGUCCUUCUCAA